AGGGCGCAAGGGGGAUGCCUUGGCAUUGGUAGCCGAUGAAGGACGUAGCGAUCUACGAUAAGCCACGGGAAGUCGAAAGCAGGCAAUGAUCCGUGGAUUUCCGAAUGGGGAAACCCGGCAGAGCAAUACUCUGUCAACUCCUUGUGAAUAAAAUAGCAUUGAGUAGGGAACCUCCUGAACUGAAACAUCUAAGUAGGGAGAGGAAAAGAAAUCAACCGAGAUUCCGCUAGUAGUGGCGAGCGAACGCGGAAGAGGCCAAACCAAGAGUAGUAAUACUUUUGGGGUUCGGACUGAGCACGGUAUUGACAAGAGUUAGUAGAAUGGAAUGGGAAGUUCAACCAUAGAGUGUGAGAGUCACGUAUACGAAAACUUGAGUCAGCCAUCAGUAUCCAGAGUACCGCCGGACACGUGAAACCCGGUGGGAAUACGGGGGGACCACCCUCCAAGCCUAAAUACUCACCAAUGACCGAUAGUGUAUAGUACUGUGAAGGAAAGGUGAAAAGAACCCCUGGCGGGGAGUGAAAAAGAACCUGAAACCUUGUGCCUACAAGCACAUAGAGCACAUCAACGUGUGAUAUGGUACCUUUUGUAGAAUGGUCCGGCGAGUGAAUGUCACUAGCGAGGUUAAGAACUUAAGGUUUGCAGCCGAAGCGAAAGCGAGUCUUAAUAGGGCGAGUUUAGUUAGUGGUAUUCGACCCGAAACCGAGUGACCUAGCCAUGAGCAGGCUGAAGUGGAGGUAAAACUCCAUGGAGGGCCGAACCCACUCCCGUUGAAAUGGUAGGGGAUGACUUGUGGCUAGCGGAGAAAUUCCAAUCGAACUCGGAGAUAGCUGGUUCUCUCCGAAAUAGCUUUAGGGCUAGCCUCAAUUAACAUUACCGCAGGUAAAGCACUGAAUGGGCUAGGGGGCGAAAGCUUACUGAACCCUAUCAAACUCAGAAUGGCGGAUAAUGAAUAAUUGGGAGUCACACUACGUGAGAUAAGUUUCGUGGUGGAAAGGGAAACAGCCCAGACCCACAGCUAAGGUCCCAAAGUACAGUUAAGUGGAAAAGGAUGUGAAGUUGCGCAGACAACCAGGAUGUUGGCUCAGAAGCAGCCACUCAUUCAAAGAGUGCGUAAUAGCUCACUGGUCGAGUGAUUUUGCGCCGAAAAUUUAACGGGGCUAAACUGUACACCGAAGCUUGGGAAUAUACCUUAUGGUAUGUUGGUAGGAGAGCGUCGUAUGCGGGGUGAAGUCGUAGCGAAAGCGGCGGUGGACUGCAUAGGAGUGAGAAUGCCGGAAUGAGUAGCGAGAAUUAUGUGAGAAUCAUAAUGGCCGAAAGACUAAGGUUUUAGAAGGAAGGUUCGUCCGCUUCUAGUUAGCCGGGAGCUAAGGCGAGGCCGAAAGGCGUAGUCGAUGCACAUACGGUUGAGAUUCCGUAGCCACCUUAAGAUUUAAACUAAGGGACACAUUGAAAGGGAAUAACCCAGGCGUUGGUUGACCUGGGCGUAAGGGAACGAAAAUAAGUAGUGAAGUAUUCUUGGACAGUGGCGAGAAAAGCUUAGUGUAUAUUAUUAGGGUGCCCGUACUGCAAACCGACACAGGUAGUCAGGAAGAGAAUUCUAAGGCCAUCGGGAGAAGCGUUGUUAAGGAACUCGGCAAAUUGACCCCGUAACUUCGGAAUAAGGGGUGCUCACGAGAGUGAGCCGCAGUGAAUAGGUCCAGGCAACUGUUUAUCAAAAACACAGCUCUCUGCUAAAUCGUAAGAUGACGUAUAGGGGGUGACACCUGCCCGGUGCUGGAAGGUUAAGAGGAGGAGUGCAAGCCCCGAAUCGAAGCCCCAGUAAACGGCGGCCGUAACUAUAACGGUCCUAAGGUAGCGAAAUUCCUUGUCGGGUAAGUUCCGACCCGCACGAAUGGUGUAAUGAUCUGGACACUGUCUCAACAACGCACCCGGCGAAAUUGUAGUACCGGUGAAGAUGCCGGUUACCCGCGGCAAGACGGAAAGACCCCAUGGAGCUUUACUGUAACUUAAUAUUGGGUCUCGGUACUUUAUGUACAGGAUAGGCGGGAGACUUGGAAACUAGCACGCCAGUGUUAGCGGAGUCAUCCUUGGGAUACCGCUCUUAAGGUAUUGAGAUUCUAACCUGCAGCCUUGAAUCAGGUUGGGGGACAUUGUUAGGUGGGCAGUUUGACUGGGGCGGUCGCCUCCAAAAGAGUAACGGAGGCGUUCAAAGGUUGGCUCAGCAUGGACGGAAACCAUGCUUUAGAGUGCAAACGCAUAAGCCAGCCUAACUGCGAGACUGACGGGUCGAGCAGUAA
rnacentral:rRNA from 1 species